rnacentral:tRNA from 1 species
GUCCCGUUCGUCUAGAGGCCUAGGACACCGCCCUUUCNNNCACGGCGGUAACAGGGGUUCGACUCCCCUACGGGAUACCA